rnacentral:rRNA from 1 species
UCGAAAGGUGUGCUACUACCGCAUAAUCUCUGAGGAGAAAAGUAGGGGCUCGCAAGACCUUGCGCUCUUGGAGCGGCCGAUGUCUGAUUAGCUAGUUGGUGAGGUAAAGGCUCACCAAGGCGUCGAUCAGUAGCUGGUCUGAGAGGACGACCAGCCACACUGGGACUGAGACACGGCCCAGACUCCUACGGGAGGCAGCAGUGGGGAAUUUUGGACAAUGGGGGCAACCCUGAUCCAGCCAUGCCGCGUGAGUGAAGAAGGCCUUCGGGUUGUAAAGCUCUUUCAGUCGAGAAGAAAAGGUUGUGACUAAUAAUCAUAACUCAUGACGGUAUCGACAGAAGAAGCACCGGCUAACUACGUGCCAGCAGCCGCGGUAAUACGUAGGGUGCGAGCGUUAAUCGGAAUUACUGGGCGUAAAGGGUGCGCAGGCGGUUCUGUAAGUCAGAUGUGAAAUCCCCGGGCUUAACCUGGGAACUGC